rnacentral:rRNA from 1 species
CCUACGGGAGGCAGCAGUGGGGAAUCUUGCGCAAUGGGCGAAAGCCUGACGCAGCAACGCCGCGUGCGAGAUGAAGGCCUUCGGGCUGUAAACCGCUUUCAGCAGGAACGAAAAUGACGGUACCUGCAGAAGAAGGAGCGGCCAACUACGUGCCAGCAGCCGCGGUGACACGUAGGCUCCAAGCGUUGUCCGGAUUUAUUGGGCGUAAAGAGCUCGUAGGCGGUCUAAUAAGUCGGGUGUGAAAACUCUGGGCUCAACCCGGAGACGCCAUCCGAUACUGUUAUGACUUGAGUUCAGGAGGGGAGCGGGGAAUUCCUAGUGUAGCGGUGAAAUGCGCAGAUAUUAGGAGGAACACCGGUGGCGAAGGCGCCGCUCUGGACUGAAACUGACGCUGAGGAGCGAAAGCAUGGGUAGCAAACAGGAUUAGAUACCCUGGUAGUCCAUGCCGUAAACGGUGGGCACUAGGUGUGGGUUUCAACUACGAAAUCCGCGCCGUCGCUAACGCAUUAAGUGCCCGCCUGGGGAGUCGGCGCAAGCAAACUUAAGGAAUUGACGGCUUGAGAGUUGCGAGCGCGACGAGGGAGAGG